rnacentral:rRNA from 1 species
UACGUAGGUGGCAAGCGUUGUCCGGAUUUACUGGGCGCAAAGAGCGCGCAGGCGGUCGUUCAAGUCGCGUGUGAAAGCCCCCGGCUCAACUGGGGAGGGUCACGCGAUACUGAUCGACUCGAAGGCAGGAGAGGGUAGUGGAAUUCCCGGUGUAGUGGUGAAAUGCGUAGAUAUCGGGAGGAACACCAGUGGCGAAGGCGACUACCUGGCCUGUUCUUGACGCUGAGGCGCGAAGGCGUGGGGAGCGAACGGG